rnacentral:rRNA from 1 species
GACGAACGCUGGCGGCGUGCUUAACACAUGCAAGUCGAACGGAAAGGCCCUGCUUUUGUGGGGUGCUCGAGUGGCGAACGGGUGAGUAACACGUGAGUAACCUGCCCUUGACUUUGGGAUAACUUCAGGAAACUGGGGCUAAUACCGUAUAGGAGCUCCUGCUGCAUGGUGGGGGUUGGAAAGUUUCGGCGGUUGGGGAUGGACUCGCGGCUUAUCAGCUUGUUGGUGGGGUAGUGGCUUACCAAGGCUUUGACGGGUAGCCGGCCUGAGAGGGUGACCGGCCACAUUGGGACUGAGAUAGGGCCCAGACUCCUACGGGAGGCAGCAGUGGGGAAUAGUGCACAAUGGGCGGAAGCCUGAUGCAGCAACGCCGCGUGCGGGAUGACGGCCUUCGGGUUGUAAACCGCUUUCGCCUGUGACGAAGCGUGAGUGACGGUAAUGGGUAAAGAAGCACCGGCUAACUACGUG